AGCUGCAUGGGAAAACAAUAAUAAGCAAUAAAAAACACGAAGAAGCACCGCUUCACACUUUCACCGCAAUCACAAGCAAGCGCUUACGCAUACAAAAAGGCCAAAGAAGAACUACAGCCAGUGCGCCUUCUUCGCGAAGUCGACCUCAUCGAUCUGACCAUAUGCACACCCCCUGCUCUGUACUCGUGUGUCGCUAAGCUGCCGAAAGAAGCGUGCUGAAUUCGCCUCAUUGUGUAUUGUGUGAGCUUCACACCGUGUUGCGCUGCGGCGCACGGUCGGUAUUACCCCUUCCGACUCGUCGUAUAGCUCGAGCGCAGAAGAGCCAUCCACAGUGCAUACAAAGAAAACCUAAAGACACACAGGAGUCAUGCUGCGCCUGUGUGCUCGACACUUAGGCGGUGCCAAGUCGGCAUCGCACGUGUACGAGCUGCGCACCUACGUGGUGGCACCUGAGAAGUACGACUCCUUUCACCAGCUCUCCAUGAAAUACAUGCCGCAGCGUCCGCGUAUUGGCAUCUGCCAGGGUUGCUGGACUGUUCAGCUUGGCGGCGUAAACCAGUACAUUCAGAUUUGGCGAUACGAGAACCUGAAGCAUCGCUACGACUGCCGCAAGCAGUUGGAGCAAGAUCAUGAAUGGCUUCGUACGUAUGUAAAGCCGGCCGAUGACAUGAUGAUCUCCAAGUCCAACACGCUGCUGCGCCUGGUAUACCGCGAGGGCAAUGCCAGCACGCAGAGCUACAAGUAUCUCAUGCAAGUCUCACCGCACAAGGAGGUGGAGCUGUCGGGGCCAAGUGCCAUUCUCGCGGCUACCUUCCAAGUUAUCGUUGGCGAAGAAGAGGGAAAGUACAUCCACCUCGUGAAGGGGCACAAGCUAGACGACGUCAUCCCCGUGACGCCGACGCUGGGGUGCUCCUCCAAGAUCAUGGGCCCGGUGCGGUGGUCGUCUACGAUGAACUGCCUCUGGCGUUGAAGUCUCCCGACGUUUAUUUCCCCCUUUUCUUCUUCGCCUUCCCGUUGUGAGCUCUUGAUGGUGACUUCUUCGGCGACUUUGUCUCGAUCGUAUCUGCACUUCCUUCGUGCCGCGAGCGCGGAGGAGUCGCACUCACUCGCUCUCGCUCCCUCUCUCUCUCUCUCGUUCGCUGCGUGUGUGUAUGUGCGCGCUUGUGCGCAUACGGCUGUCUUUUCUGUUAUUAUAUGUUCAUGUUUUGUUUGGCCUCCACUACUCACGUCUAUUCUCCGUUCCUUCUCUUCCCCUCGCCACAUCGUGCCACCUGCGCAUGUCUCCUCUCUCCCCUCUGUCAUUUCACCUCCACUCCUCCUUCCCCCCUUCCCCCUUCUUGCUGUUGUUGCUGUUCUUCGCCACAGUCGCUG
rnacentral:misc_RNA from 1 species